rnacentral:rRNA from 1 species
CGCUGAAUUUAAGCAUAUAAUUAAGCGGAGGAAAAGAAACUAACAAGGAUUCCCUUAGUAACGGCGAGUGAAGCGGGAAGAGCUCAAGCUUAAAAUCUCCACGCAAGUGGCGAAUUGUAGUCUAUAGAGGCUGUUGUCAGCAUAGCGACCUGGGACAAGUCCCUUGGAAGAGGGCAGCAUGGAGGGUGAUACUCCCGUCUCUGCUCAGGUUGUCUGUGUGUACGAUACGCUUUCUUUGAGUCGAGUUGUUUGGGAAUACAGCUCAAAGCAGGUGGUAAAUUCCAUCUAAAGCUAAAUAUUGGUGCGAGACCGAUAGCGAACAAGUACCGUGAGGGAAAGAUGAAAAGAACUUUGAAAAGAGAGUUAAAGAGUACCUGAAACUGUUGAAAGGGAACCGUAUCGUUUCUAGUGUGUAUCCUAUGCAUAUUUCAUUGGCGGUUGUAAAAGAUUGCUGGUGCCCUGUGUAUGGGUGUGACGUCAGGGUCAGUUUGAAUUGCGGGAGAUGGGCAGUGAGGAGGUGCGUCACUUUUAGUGAAAGUUACAGCUCGCUGUCUAGUAGCCGUGGUUUAGACUGAGGUGCCUACAACAUGCUUUGAGAUGUAUUGUUUUGUCGUGUUGUACGUUGUUUGGAUAGCUUGCUAUGCUGAUGAUUUAUGAUGCGAGAGAGUGAUAUGAAUUUCUGCUGUUCGGGACUCUGGCGAAAUGGAGCGAUACGACCCGUCUUGAAACACGGACCAAGGAGUCUAACAUGUGUGCAAGUAUUAGGGUGUGGAAACCCCAAUGCGUAAUGAAAGUAAAGGGCACUUUUGUGUCUUUGGUAGGAAGGAGCUGUAAUGGUUCUGGCACUAUCGACCGAUCAUGAACCUCCGGGUGAAAGAUUUGAGUAUGAGCAUAUAUGUUGGUACCCGAAAGAUGGUGAACUAUGCCUGAAUAGGGUGAAGCCAGGGGAAACUCUGGUGGAAGCUCGUAGCGAUUCUGACGUGCAAAUCGAUCGUCAAAUUUAGGUAUAGGGGCGAAAGACUAAUCGAACCAUCUAGUAGCUGGUUCCCUCCGAAAUUUCCCUCAGGAUAGCAGCAACUUUUUACGAUAGUUUUAUGAGGUAAAGCGAAUGAUUAGAGGCCUCGGGGAAGAAACUUCCUCGACCUAUUCUCAAACUUUAAAUGGGUAAGACCUGUGGGUUUCUUAAUUGAACCUGUGGACGUGAAUAUCCAAGUUGCUAGUGGGCCAUACCGGGUAAGCUGGUCUGGCG